rnacentral:tRNA from 1 species
GGAGGGGUGCCAGAGCGGUUGAAUGGGCCGGUCUCGAAAACCGGUAUGUCCGAAAGGGCAUCGCGAGUUCGAAUCUCGCCCCCUCCG